GGGCCAUAGCUCAGGGGUAGAGCAUCUGUCUUGCAAGUAGAAGGUUCCAGGGUCAAUUCCUGACAUCUCCA